rnacentral:rRNA from 1 species
GCAUAUCAAUAAGCGGAGGAAAAGAAACCAACAGGGAUUGCCCUAGUAACGGCGAGUGAAGCGGCAACAGCUCAAAUUUGAAAUCUGGCUCUCGGGCCCGAGUUGUAAUUUGUAGAGGAUACUUUUGAUGCGGUGCCUUCCGAGUUCCCUGGAACGGGACGCCAUAGAGGGUGAGAGCCCCGUCUGGUUGGAUGCCAAAUCUCUGUAAAGUUCCUUCAACGAGUCGAGUAGUUUGGGAAUGCUGCUCUAAAUGGGAGGUAUAUGUCUUCUAAAGCUAAAUACCGGCCAGAGACCGAUAGCGCACAAGUAGAGUGAUCGAAAGAUGAAAAGCACUUUGAAAAGAGAGUUAAAAAGUACGUGAAAUUGUUGAAAGGGAAGCGUUUAUGACCAGACUUGGGCUUGGUUAAUCAUCUGGGGUUCUCCCCAGUGCACUUUUCCAGUCCAGGCCAGCAUCAGUUUUCCCCGGGGGAUAAAGGCGGCGGGAAUGUGGCUCUCUUCGGGGAGUGUUAUAGCCCACCGUGUAAUACCCUGGGGGGGACUGAGGUUCGCGCAUCUGCAAGGAUGCUGGCGUAAUGGUCAUCAACGACCCGUCUUGAAACACGGACCAAGGAGUCGUCUUCGUAUGCGAGUGUUCGGGUGUCAAACCCCUACGCGUAAUGAAAGUGAACGCAGGUGAGAGCUUCGGCGCAUCAUCGACCGAUCCUGAUGUUCUCGGAUGGAUUUGAGUAAGAGCAUACGGGGCCGGACCCGAAAGAAGGUGAACUAUGCCUGUAUAGGGUGAAGCCAGAGGAAACUCUGGUGGAGGCUCGCAGCGGUUCUGACGUGCAAAUCGAUCGUCAAAUAUGGGCAUGGGGGCGAAAGACUAAUCGAACCUUCUAGUAGCUGGUUCCGC